AACUUAGUGAACUGAAACAUCUAAGUAACUAAAGGAAUAUAAAUCAACCGAGAUAUUAUGAGUAUUGGUGAGAGAAAAUAAU
rfam:Saccharomyces castellii strain NRRL Y-12630 mitochondrion, complete genome.